UCCUGGGUGGCUCAGUUGGUUGAGCGUCUGACUUCAGCUCAGGUCAUGAUCUCACAGUUCGUGGGUUCAAUACCCACGUCGGGCU
rfam:Felis catus isolate Cinnamon breed Abyssinian chromosome D1, whole genome shotgun sequence.